rnacentral:rRNA from 1 species
UUGGAAAUUUGAGAGGAGCUGUCCUUAGUACGAGAGGACCGGGAUGGACUUACCGCUGGUGUACCAGUUGUUCUGCCAAGGGCAUUGCUGGGUAGCUAUGUAGGGAAGGGAUAAACGCUGAAAGCAUCUAAGUGUGAAGCCCACCUCAAGAUGAGAUUUCCCAUUUCUUUAAGAAAGUAAGAUCCCUGAGAGAUGAUCAGG